UACGUAGGUGGCAAACGUUGUCCGGAAUUAUUGGGCGUAAAGCGCGCGCAGGCGGAUAGGUCAGUCUGUCUUAAAAGUUCGGGGCUUAACCCCGUGAUGGGAUGGAAACUGCCAAUCUAGAGUAUCGGAGAGGAAAGUGGAAUUCCUAGUGUAGCGGUGAAAUGCGUAGAUAUUAGGAAGAACACCAGUGGCGAAGGCGACUUUCUGGACGAACACUGACGCUGAGGCGCGAAAGCCAGGGGAGCGAACGGG
rnacentral:rRNA from 1 species